rnacentral:lncRNA from 1 species
GGAAUCAUUAGGAAUAAAAAGAAAUUCUCAGUUAGUGUGACACACAUCUGAGCUGGCUACUAAGGGAAUAAAUAGCUUCUAGAAGAUUUCAUCCAUGGCGGUAUUCGGCAGGAUCCGAUUACAUUUAAAUGCUAAUGCACAUCCUGCAGCAUUCUGAUUCACCGGAGGACUAAUGUUGCUGAUAGGCACGCAGAUAGCCUGGACGGAUAUUACAUUCUGAGCAACAGCAGAGCAAAACCCUCCCAACCUUCAGUUCCUCCAAAACGCCCAUAAACUGGCUGAGCUAGGAAAUAGCCACAAAAGAAGAGAAAUGCUGGAGAAAAAAGUGCACAUAUGAAGCAAUUAGAGACCCAGACAAUAGCUACGAAAUGCUAAAUUGCUGGUGGAGUCAGUAAGUGCUCAGGAGCCGGAGGAAGGAGAUCAAAGCAGCGGAAUCCAGGGAGGGAAGGGUCGGCGCGAGCGGGGCCGCUGGGGGCCUGGAGCCCCUCCUUCCUCCUCCGGGUUUGAGACUGACCCCACAGCCCCGCGAGGACAGAGCGCUUUGCCCCAUUUGGACUUCGCAAUGUUCAACAGUAGUGGGGGAUCCCAACCGAACCACCACAAUAAAAACACCGUUUUUAAAACAGACAGUGAGGCUAUAAGGAAAUUUGACGCAGAAGGUGAAAAUCUGCAUCCGGCUCUGAUGGCGGGAAUCCUGUUUUACCCUUUCCUCUUCUGGGAUCUGUGGCUUUAGGAGGCCACGUCACCCUGUGACGGAAGAGGAGGCUCCCCACCAAGACCAGCCAGAGACGCGCUGCUGACGGAUGGAGACGGGGAAGUCCCAGAUUUGGCAGACCGAGGGGCCGACUGGGAAAUUUUAUAGAUGGACAACAGGCACUAGGAGCAGAAAUGUGAACUGACACAUAAUUUAUACAUUUUGUAGUUGGUUCUUUUGCUUAGCUUAGCUUUCUAUGGAAAUAAUUUUGUUCAGUCACAAUAAAGCGAUACGCCAUCUGCUUUUUAAGAAAAUUGUCUUAAGCAGCUUUAACAUGGGAACAUGAUUGUAUCUUCCUCAAAACCAGAGUUAGAUAUUUUCUUCUCUGUGGUUCCACAAUGUUCCUUCAGCAAGAAGCAGUGUGAUUGACCCACUAAGAAGUCCAAAAUGCUGUAUUUUAUCCCAAGAAUGCUUUAUGAUAAGGCACAUGAUUAAAUUUCUUUUUUAAUUUAAUGACAGCUACCAGUUUAAAUUUCCAGGUAAAAGGGUGUCUUUCAAAAAGAGAGAGAGAGAGAGAGAAGGAAAAAUGAAAACAAGAACAGCAAAUCAGAGAAGAGGAUCAGAUAGCCCAUCAGGUUUUCCUUUGGUCUUACUGUGGAACUUUGUACUCAUUCUGUUUCAUUUUGGGAUCCCCAUUUGAUAUACCUUUGCUCUAAAUGAUUUCCAAGCUCUCCUUAUUUUCUUAAAUGUGUGCUUGCUAUAUCUUUAAAUGUAAGUCACUUCCAUUUGUUUUGAGGACUAGGUAAAUAUAAAUAUAGUAACAA